rnacentral:lncRNA from 1 species
GGCACCUGCAUCCGGACUAUGGAAAAGCUGUGGUGACCCCAAGCUGCCAGGUGGGGACCUAAAUCACAAUGUCAUCAUAAGAAGAUAGAGAGAGACACAAGGAAUGCACAAAGAAAAGGCACGUGAAGACACAGGGAGAAGGCAGCCAUAUGCAAGCCAGUGAGAGAAGCCUGCCAGCACGGUGCAUUGCUCCUGAAGGCCCAGCCUCCAGAAUUGUGAGAAAACAAAUCUCUGUUUCUGUAAGUCACCUAGCAAACUAAUACAAAAGUU